GACGAACGCUGGCGGCGUGCCUAAUACAUGCAAGUCGAGCGGAUGAAAGAGGAGCUUGCUCCUCCUGAUUCAGCGGCGGACGGGUGAGUAACACGUGGGCAACCUGCCCUGUAGAUUGGGAUAACUCCGGGAAACCGGGGCUAAUACCGAAUAAUCCUUCGGACCUCAUGGUCCGAUGUUGAAAGACGGCAUCUCGCUGUCACUACAGGAUGGGCCCGCGUCGCAUUAGCUAGUUGGUGAGGUAACGGCUCACCAAGGCGACGAUGCGUAGCCGACCUGCGAGGGUGAUCGGCCACACUGGGACUGAGACACGGCCCAGACGCCUACGGGAGGCAGCAGUAGGGAAUCUUCCACAAUGGACGAAAGUCUGAUGGAGCAACGCCGCGUGAGUGAAGAAGGUUCUCGGAUCGUAAAACUCUGUUGUGAGGGAAGAACAAGUACCGGAGUAACUGCCGGUGCCUUGACGGUACCUCAUUAGAAAGCCACGGCUAACUACGUGCCAGCAGCCGCAGUAAAAC
rnacentral:rRNA from 1 species